rnacentral:tRNA from 1 species
ACCUCAGUGGUGUAGUGGUCAAGACACUUGCCUGGUAAACAGGAGGGGAUGGGUCAAUCCCAACUGAGGCA